ensembl:lncRNA
CCUUACCAUAUGAUCUCUUUUGUCCUGUUUUUUAAAGCUUGAUAAAAAAAAAUCCCGAUCCCUCGAGUUGAAAGCACUACUAUGUCUCACACCUCCUGGGGGACCUUCUCCGGCCAGGCCUCUCGUCGGUUCAUCCAGUCGAAUCCUCCUGGAUCGUCCACUUGUUCGGCAACAUGUCUCAGCUGGUAUCUGGCUCCCUCCUAUCGCAGGGACUCUUCAACAGCCCCAGUUCUUGUUGCAUUGGUGGGUUCUCUCUCUGUGCAGUACUGUCUGUGUGUGCACGCGUGUGUAAAAAUCGUCUUUUCUUUCUCUCUCAUUGUCUCCAGAGGGAGUUCAGUCUUCCUGUGCUGUGUUUUUCACAAGUCUGGCUAUUUUCAGCUCCCACCAUAUAACUCUACACAUUCCUUGGUUUGGAUAUCAGUUGUGGAUCUGGGAACAUGAUGCCUCUGAGUACAUUUCUCAGAUGAAUAAAACUGAUAAAACUCCCAGCAUUUCCAUCAUGUCUUCACCACGGAAACGUGCUGCUCCUCUAGGUGUGCCAGCCUUUCCCUCCUCGGUUCCGACGGUCGGAAGGAUGCGCUGCGGGUGAGGCGAUGUGGAAUCUCUCAAUAGGAUUCGAAAUAUUUUCUCUUCAUUGUGGGGCUACAUAAUUGGCUCAGUCCUUGAAGCUGGCAAACAAGCUGUUGUGAACGUUUCCAGCGGACUUCUGAACUUCCCCUCAGGCCAGCUCCUCAAGGUCUGCCCUGCCCGUCACCGUAACUGGCACAGUUGCAAGUGUGAGCGUUGCCAUGGGACAAGUGGCUUUUCCUCUUUGUCAAUGAAGAGGGAGUGUGGUGGGGCUGGAACAUCCAUCAUGUCCAUGGUGGCCAGGGUCAAUCUGGCCAGUCCAUGUUGUAUUUAGCAAAUCCAAACAAAUCAUGAGGAAGACGAGCACUGAUGAGGAAAACAAGCACUGAUGAGGAAGGAGAGCACUGAGGAGGAAGGAGAGCACUGAGGAGGAAGGAGAGCACUGAGGAGGAAGGAGAGCACUGAUGAGGAAGGAGAGCAGUGAUGAGGAAGGAGAGCACUGAGGAGGAAGGAGAGCACUGAUGAGGAAGGAGAGCACUGAUGAGGAAGGAGAGCACUGAGGAGGAAGGAGAGCACUGAGGAGGAAGGAGAGCACUGAGGAGGAAGACGAGCACUUAUGAGGAAGGAGAGCACUGAGGAGGAAGGAGAGCACUGAGGAGGAAGGAGAGCACUGAGGAGGAAGGAGAGCACUGAGGAGGAAGGAGAGCACUGAGGAGGAAGACGAGCACUGAGGAGGAAGGAGAGCACUGAGGAGGAAGGAGAGCACUGAGGAGGAAGACGAGCACUGAGGAGGAAGGAGAGCACUGAGGAGGAAGGAGAGCACUGAGGAGGAAGACGAGCACUGAGGAGGAAGGAGAGCACUGAGGAGGAAGGAGAGCACUGAGGAGGAAGGAGAGCACUGAGGAGGAAGACGAGCACUUAUGAGGAAGGCCCAAAACUGUUCCCGAGAGCUUAGUGGAGGUUGGAGGUCAGAAGACAGCCCGAGGAAAAACUGGAUGUGUUAUUUCCAAAGGUCUUUUCCGAUCAGGAUUUGCUUCCCC